AGUGGGAUAGCUGGGUAAAAUGGCGGUUCCAUUACCAAUUUUCUGAGGAAUCUCCAUACUGCUUUUCAUAGUGGUUUCACUAAUUUGCAGUCCCACCAGCAAU
rnacentral:pre_miRNA from 1 species